UGGGGAAUUUUGGACAAUGGGCGAAAGCCUGAUCCAGCAAUGCCGCGUGCAGGAAGAAGGCCUUCGGGUUGUAAACUGCUUUUGUACGGAACGAAAAGGCUCUUUCUAAUAAAGAGGGCCCAUGACGGUACCGUAAGAAUAAGCACCGGCUAACUACGUGCCAGCAGCCGCGGUAAUACGUAGGGUGCGAGCGUUAAUCGGAAUUACUGGGCGUAAAGCGUGCGCAGGCGGUUCUAUAAGACAGAUGUGAAAUCCCCGGGCUCAACCUGGGAAUGGCAUUUGUGACUGUAGGGCUAGGGUACGGUAGAGGGGGAUGGAAUUCCGCGUGUAGCAGUGAAAUGCGUAGAUAUGCGGAGGAACACCGAUGGCGAAGGCAAUCCCCUGGACCUGUACUGACGCUCAUGCACGAAAGCGUGGGGAGCAAACAGGAUUAGAUACCCAUGUAGUCCCUGAGCGGGCUGGCAAGGCGCAU
rnacentral:rRNA from 1 species